UGGGGAAUAUUGCACAAUGGGCGAAAGCCUGAUGCAGCAACGCCGCGUGAGGGACGACGGCCUUCGGGUUGUAAACCUCUUUUAGCAAGGAAGAAGCGAAAGUGACGGUACUUGCAGAAAAAGCGCCGGCUAACUACGUGCCAGCAGCCGCGGUAAUACGUAGGGCGCAAGCGUUAUCCGGAAUUAUUGGGCGUAAAGAGCUCGUAGGCGGUUUGUCGCGUCUGCUGUGAAAACCCGAGGCUCAACCUCGGGCCUGCAGUGGGUACGGGCAGACUAGAGUGCGGUAGGGGAGAUUGGAACUCCUGGUGUAGCGGUGGAAUGCGCAGAUAUCAGGAAGAACACCGAUGGCGAAGGCAGAUCUCUGGGCCGUAACUGACGCUGAGGAGCGAAAGGGUGGGGGAGCAAAACAGGCUUAGAUACCCUGGUAGUCCACCCCGUAAACGUUGGGAACUAGUUGUGGGGUCCAUUCCACGGAUUCCGUGACGCAGCUAACGCAUUAAGUUCCCCGCCUGGGGAGUACGGCCGCAAGGCC
rnacentral:rRNA from 1 species